AGAUACAGGAAUACAUAUGCAGAUUUGUUACAUGGGAAUACUGCAUGAUGCUGAGGUUUGGAGUACAGAUCCUGUCAACCUGGUAUUGAGCAUAUGUGAAACAUUACUGUUGGGGGAAACUGGAUGAAGGAAAUAUGGGAUAUAUCUAUAUUGUUACACUUGCUUGAAAACCUAAAAUUACGAGAGCUCCAGUACAAGAAGCACUAAAAAAAAUUAUUCUGGCUGAUGGAAAAUGCUACCACCCAAAACCUUAGAUCUUCAGGAAGGAAUUGAAACUCGUCGUAUAAAUUCAAUCAAUGACCUGGAUUGAAAACAGCUGUUCUGGGAUAUACUGAGACCUUCAAGCUUCAGAUGAUUAUACAACAAAGCUUCAAGCAAGUUCCAGGUGAAGACACCACCACUGGCCAUCAAGAAGCUACCCUGCCUCCUCUAGACAGAGGAGGGCAAGAGUUCUGUGAUCUCUAAUAGGUAGGGACUACUCCCCAAGCCAGCAUGAAGCAGUUACAUAAGAAAGACCAUCGGUCCCUUCACCUCCCAUAAAGAUUUACAAGAAUCACAUCUCUCAGCAGGGAAAUGAGGCAGGAAAAUAGGGUCUGGAAGCAGGGAAUAUAAGGCCAAUUCACAUUUCAGCAAUAACAGGAAAUAUCCUCUCUAUAGGGGGUAUGCUGAGUAAAUGACUUUGUAACUUUACUUCAUCUUCUCCAUAUAAUACAUAAGGCAUACACCAAGUAACCAAUGGAAACCUCUAGAGAUUAUUUAAACAUCCCAAAAAUCUGUAAUGGGGCCCUUGAGCCCCUAUGCUCAGGUCUGCUCCCAUACUGUGGACUGUAUUUUCAUUUUCAGUAAAUCCCUUCAUUUCUUCCUUG
rnacentral:lncRNA from 1 species